ensembl:lncRNA
CUUAUAGUAAUCCAUGCUGCUCCCAACCCCCACCGGGAGUGUAUAUUUUCUGCCUUGGGUACUUCGGAAGCAUAUCGGAGUGAUCUGUCUUAGAUCAGACAAGCCUGGCUUCUCCCUCCCUCUGUUCCUCUUCAGAAAAGAAGAAUAGUCCUCCCAGGGAUAUCGACAUGACAAGCUACAAUAAGACUAGGUCAAGUUAAUUGAGGUGGGAGGACCCAUCCUGAUUGUCAGAACUAAAGAGAAAGGAGAAAGGAAGCCGACUUACAAGAUUCUUCCCUCUGCUUCUCAACUGCAGAUGCAAAGCAACAGGCUGUCUCAGGCUCCUUCCCUCGUGACUUCUCUGCUGUGAUGGACUGAACUGCUGUCAAACUAUAGACCCCAAUGAAAGCAUCCUUCGCCAAAUCACUUCUGUAGAAUCCAACUGGAGAAAAUAAACAAAUAACUCGUAUGUUUUAUUGAACUGUAUUCACCUUGUUUCUAGAUUUGGAAAGAUAUUUCCCAAAGGCGUGAAUGGUGGGUUUUGAACCUGUGUGGGAAGAAGAGGUGGGUGUUGAACCUGUGUGGG